AGAAACAUGUCUGAUAAAAGAAUUACUUUGAUAGAGUAAAUAAUAGGGGUCCAAAUCCCCUUGUUUCUA
rnacentral:tRNA from 1 species